rnacentral:lncRNA from 1 species
GCAGUGACCUGUACUGGUCCCAACAGCCCAUUGAAUAGGUCCACACGUGAGAAGCUGCUACUGACCAGCAGAGGGAAGUGGCGGCAGCUGGUGUUGGGGCUGAGGGCUUCCAGGCCAGGCUGGGAAAGGUCAGGGAAGGGAAGGAGUCAGGGUUCAGCCUUGUGCCCCGACCCUCUGGGGCCUUUGUCAGUGGCCACAGCAGCCCAACACUCUCACCCCUCACCUGGCCUGACUGGAGAAGGCCCUGGGCCUGCCGGUUACCAUCCCACAUUGCCCCCACAGGGCUCUCAGUGUAGCAAGGGCAGGGAGAAGGCCCAGGCUGGAAGGUCCACUCCUCAUUCUCCCUGCCCCACCCUGCCAUGCCCAUCCUGAUGGUCACCAUGGCCUGUACCAGGCCUCCGGCGGAGAAGCUGGGCACCACGUACUUCACGUCAAAGUCGCGAGAGGCCGCGUAGGGGGUGCGCGGGCACUGCCAGUCCUCGCCCGCCGCGGGCUUGGCAGGCAACAGCAGCAGCAACAGGAAGGACUGAGGCAGCGGCGGGAGGAGCUCCAUCGAGGCGAGCUGGGACCCUAGAGGAUCCCUACCGGCCUGGGCCUGGACCUGGGCGUGGGCCUGGCUGGGGGCCCGACUCGAGGUCUGGACUGGGCCAAAUUUAAGCAGCGGUCCCGACAGCCCCAAGAUAGCGGACCCCCGCCCCAGGUUCCUGUGAAACCCAAAUCCCUUCCCGGCCCUCGGGUCUGAGCACCUGACGCCUGCGGACGCACGACAGCAACGCCCCAGCCGCCUCACCUGCCGCCCCAGCCGCCGCUGUACACUGGCGCUUAGCGCUCAGCCGACCCGAGGGCGCCGGGCUGGGCGGGCGGAGUCGGGCCGUGGGGGCGGGGCCGCGAGGAAGGCUUGGCCUAGCCCAGGCCCUCCGCCCAUCCGACUCUUCCGGCCCUUGGAGGCCUGGCUCCUGUACCUUCACCUGGCGUCUUGGCGCCUUUUUCUCAGCGGCCUGUGGGUGGAUGUGCAUGGUGUGGCCUGGAGAGAGUGCAGGACUCCCCCUCCUUCCAGCCUGGAGCUCCAUGAGCACCUGAAGACUGAAAGAGGAAAUGGAAGUGGGGGCGGCCACACCCAGUGCAGGGUUGAUACUGUGCCCUGAGGUGACAUAAAAGACACUCCUUUUCCAAAGCAGAAUUGGCCAGGAAAUGAAUAAACACCCGGAGAAAACCGUGGCGUGGUUCCUGCAUUCCACAGUCAACACAUCUAAAGAUAGGCAAGGCAAAACUAAAAUGAAACAUUCUCAGCCUGGCGCACAGACAGGGGUUCUGGUGACCCAAAUCCCACCUCCAGACUUUCAGAGGGAUCUCUGGUGGUUGGGAGAAGACUUCACAAGCCCUCUUAGAUCACCCCACCCACCCCUUUUUGGGGGUGGUGUUGCGGCAACCAUCCGUUAGUUCUCCGCUGCCACCGUGUGGCCGCGCUAAUGGCUGUCCCCAGGCUGAGGUCCCCUGUAAGGCAGCCUUGGUUCUCAACAGCAGGGGUACACAGGAGCACCCCUUCCCCCUCUCGCCAUCUGCCGCCUCUAUAGGAGGGGGCAGUCAAGGUGUGUGGGGGAGGUCAGCUAAUGGGACUCUUAAGUGCCAAGUACAAGGGCACCCCCAAGCUAACAUAGCUGGCUAAGAACCUGCUCGACUGCCCUAGCACCUGACGCCUUGAAGGAAUACUAGCCACUUUUCCCUCCUUGAGCUCUCAGUCCCCUCUGAACACUGUUCUAGAGAACUAGGUCUAACCUCUUUCUCUAAUCCCAAGAUCACCUUAGCAGUAGCAAGGGAGUCUCUCUAACUGUAAUAUGACCACAUCACACUGCAGGUUACCUGGAGUUUGAGAACCCCAGCCCUUGUGUGGACCACUCCAGCUUCACUGCAAACAAGUUAUAUUAGGUUCUUUUUUUUUUUUUUUUUUUGAGACGGAGUCUCACUGUGUCGCCCAGGCUAGAGUGCAGUGGCGCAGUCUCGGCUCACUACAACCUCUGCCUCCUGGGUUCAAGCGAUUCUCCUGCCUCAGCCUCCUGAGUAGCUGGGACUACAGGCGCACGCCACCAUACUCAGCUAAUUUUCGUAUUUUUAGUAGAGACAGGGUUUCACCAUGUUGGCCAGGCUGGUCUGGAACUCCUGACUUCCAGUGAUAUACAAUCCUUGGCUUCCCAAAGUGUUGGGAUUACAGGCGUGAGCCACCAUGCCCGGCCUGUACUAGGUUCUUACCAGGUCCUUCCCUUUGCACAUGCUGGCUCUUCCACUACGAACACCUUCCCUAUUUGUCUGUCUUCCCACCCCUGAUCUCCAAGCAGGUACACCCCACACUCCUAGGUGCCUAUAGUCCUAGGUAUACACAUUUAUCCAACUAUGAUCUCCCCAGAAUAUAUGCUGAACUACACAGAAGCUGAGAAACCUACAAGAGUCAGGGCAACCAAAAGAGGCACUUAGGGGCUCACUGUUGACCAGAAUGCCAGUAACAAUCAGGGACAGCUGGCUUGGCAUCACCCAGGCCCCAGAGGCAGUGGUUUGGUGUUCUUACUAGGAGCAGGGGAGGAACAAAAGCAGAAAACAGGCAUAAAAGAGACCCAGGGCAUGUGUGCAGGGUGAACAGCACCCACCAAGCCUAUGGCUGCUCCCCGGAGGCUUUGGAAUCUGGGCUGGUAGCCUGCUGCCAUGCCCAUUCCAAUGUGAGCCACAGUGGGGCCAAGGGCAGGGGCUGUGCUGCCAUUUUCUGGGACAAUAAAUACAACUGUUCCAGUGUACCCUGGGUCCAUGUCACCCACACAGGCUCAUUCUUCAAUAUGGCUUGAUUUUAGUAGCAGAAAAUAUUGGCUCAACUCUCAGAAACUGCAUGAGGGUGAUUCUCUCUGACAGUCUGAAGACCACAUUCAGAGGACAGUUUUCUCCAAUAAGUACUUCCUAGGCCUUGUGUUCCCUGGGGCCAGAACUAGAAGAUCCCCCGGCAGCAAAGUGGAAGCUCUCUGCAUUGUGCCCUGGGUCCUGUGGUAGAGUAAAUGGGGCUGGGCUUUCACUGCCGAGCCUCCUGGAUGUCCAUGGUGCCCCAUGCAGGUCUGCCUAUGCCAUGCCAGGGACUAGGGUGACUAAGGAGGGCCGAGUGCACGUAGCAGUAUUAGCUCUUAUUAUGGCAGGCCCACUUCUGCCUUAGAGGGUCAACUGGGCCUUCUCUCAGACCCUCAGCUCACUCUUGAGGACCAUUUGGAGGAAUGCACUGGCUGAGGUAGGAGAACUGAGGCAUACAGCCCUUCAUGGGAAGGCCUGAGCAGGGACAGUUUCCUCAGAGGCCUGCAGCUAAAGGGAGACUGGAUUCUGAAUUUCAGCUGAAG